GGCUCGGUAGCUUAUUUGGUAAAGCACUCGUCUAGCAUACAAGAGUUCUGGCUUCGAAUCUCAGCUGAGCAC
rnacentral:tRNA from 2 species